rnacentral:rRNA from 1 species
AGCGGAUGAGAGGAGCUUGCUCCUUGAUUUAGCGGCGGACGGGUGAGUAAUGCCUAGGAAUCUGCCUGGUAGUGGGGGAUAACGUUCCGAAAGGAACGCUAAUACCGCAUACGUCCUACGGGAGAAAGCAGGGGACCUUCGGGCCUUGCGCUAUCAGAUGAGCCUAGGUCGGAUUAGCUAGUUGGUGAGGUAAUGGCUCACCAAGGCGACGAUCCGUAACUGGUCUGAGAGGAUGAUCAGUCACACUGGAACUGAGACACGGUCCAGACUCCUACGGGAGGCAGCAGUGGGGAAUAUUGGACAAUGGGCGAAAGCCUGAUCCAGCCAUGCCGCGUGUGUGAAGAAGGUCUUCGGAUUGUAAAGCACUUUAAGUUGGGAGGAAGGGCAUUAACCUAAUACGUUAGUGUUUUGACGUUACCGACAGAAUAAGCACCGGCUAACUUCGUGCCAGCAGCCGCGGUAAUACGAAGGGUGCAAGCGUUAAUCGGAAUUACUGGGCGUAAAGCGCGCGUAUG